UUUGGGCGAGUGAACCAUGGCCGGUCCUCUCAGUCUUGUUUGCUUUAGCAACUUGUGGUUUGCUUGCUCGGUGAUUAAGCCGAACUAAGGCAAAGCGGCAGCAAGAGCGGCAGCAAGAGCAGCAUCAUUCAGAUUCAGAAGAAUUAGCAAGUAAUUAAGUAGGCCUCAGCCUCACAAACAAAAUAUCAAAGCGAAACAAUCGAAUUUGACAAAGGGAGAGAAACAGAGAGAUUGAGAUCGCGAAACGGCGUUGCAGUGGAUGAUACUGACGUACCUGGUGGCAGCUGAGGCAGCCUUGGCCUUCCUCUUAACCCUUCCUGCGCCCAAGCUCUUGAAGAAUCAAUUCGUGUCGUUGCUCUCUCUCAUCCUCCAACCUGCCCUCUUCAUCGUUCCAUUCGCCGGCUUUCAGCUCCUUGGUAAUGGAUUUCAAGUUCAUUGCCUUUGGAUUAUGUACAAUGUCAGAGUGAAGUUACAGUACAGUAAACAACCACUCAAAUGGGAGUUACUAGAAAGCCAUAGCAGUGAAAAAAAACAAAAACAAAAACAAAAAAAACAGACAAGAAAUUCAGCAAACGAAAAACAGAGACUAAAAAAUCGAAUAAGGAAACUAGUAUGAAGCCUUGGGUUGGACAGGCUCUGCUCCAACGUCCUUGAGAGUCACGACACGCUCUCGCGGGUUGGAGGCUUUGUAAGCAAAAGCAUCUCUACGGGUAGGAUCUUUAACGGCGUGAUUGUGGCCGUCAUACUCCUCAACAUGAGCCACCUUCCUGAAAAACGAGUUCGUCAUGAACUUCUCAGCCUCCUCCACCACAUGCUCCGGCUCCACCACCUCCGGCAGCGUCUCGCGUCGCCGCUUCUUCACGUAGACAUGGGGGUUGUGCUUCAGCUGAUGCAUGGCGGUGUGGAGCCCCAACCCCAGUGACACUGUUAUCAUCCCAAGAGCUACAUAGACAGGCACUAAGUCUCCCCUUAAGAACCUUUUGUAGCUCUGCUGGUUUUGUGCAGUGACACCAGCACUUGGGGUGUAGGCUUUCGUCUUGGGUGAGGUUGAGGUUGCA